rnacentral:rRNA from 1 species
GAUGAACGCUAGCGGCAGGCCUAACACAUGCAAGCCAAGGGGUAGGGUUAGCUUGCUAACUUGAGACCGGCGCACGGGUGCGUAACGCGUAUGCAAUCUACCUUGUACAGGGGGAUAGCCCAGAGAAAUUUGGAUUAAUACCCCAUGGUGUUAUGAUGUGGCAUCACAUUAUAACUAAAGUUCCAACGGUACAAGAUGAGCAUGCGUCCCAUUAGCUAGUUGGUGUGGUAACGGCAUACCAAGGCAAUGAUGGGUAGGGGUCCUGAGAGGGAGAUCCCCCACACUGGUACUGAGACACGGACCGGACUCCUACGGGAGGCAGCAGUGAGGAAUAUUGGUCAAUGGUCGGGAGACUGAACCAGCCAAGUCGCGUGAAGGAUGAAGGUAUUAUGUAUUGUAAACUUCUUUUAUAAGGGAAUAAAGUGUUGGACGUGUCCAAUUUUGUAUGUACCUUAUGAAUAAGGAUCGGCUAACUCCGUGCCAGCCGCCGCUGUAA